rnacentral:rRNA from 1 species
GAUGAACGCUGGCGGCGUGCUUAACACAUGCAAGUCGAACGAUGAAGCCCAGCUUGCUGGGUGGAUUAGUGGCGAACGGGUGAGUAACACGUGAGUAACCUGCCCUUAACUCUGGGAUAAGCCUGGGAAACUGGGUCUAAUACCGGAUAGGAGCGUCCACCGCAUGGUGGGUGUUGGAAAGAUUUAUCGGUUUUGGAUGGACUCGCGGCCUAUCAGCUUGUUGGUGAGGUAAUGGCUCACCAAGGCGACGACGGGUAGCCGGCCUGAGCGGGUGACCGGCCACACUGGGACUGAGACACGGCCCAGACUCCUACGGGAGGCAGCAGUGGGGAAUAUUGCACAAUGGGCGCAAGCCUGAUGCAGCGACGCCGCGUGAGGGAUGACGGCCUUCGGGUUGUAAACCUCUUUCAGUAGGGAAGAAGCGAAAGUGACGGUACCUGCAGAAGAAGCACCGGCUAACUACGUG